rnacentral:rRNA from 1 species
UUCGUGGAGUGAUCUGUCUGCUUAAUUGCGUUUCAAAAUUUAACUUGAGGACCGGGUUUUGGUUUGGCUAGUGGUUCUACGAUGACUGUGAACUGUCAUGUCUUCGGAUGUGCGACUAUUGGUCUAGGAUCACAUGACUUGCCCCUGGGACUCUUUUGAACGCAACGGACGUGAUUGCAACCCCUUGUUGAGAUUAGAGAUAGUCUCGAUAUUCACUGGACAAACUGGCUGCUUUAUGCAGUCUUGUUGAAUGGUGGAUAAACUCGGGGGACUGCUGACUAUAACCAUUUCUCAAAACAGAGGAAGGUUGCGGCAAUAACAGGUCUGUGAUGCCCUCAGAUGUCCCGGGCUGCACACGUGCUACAAUGAGUGGCGCAAUGUGCUAAUGUUUAAGGGAUAAGAGUGUGGUCAGUAGAACGUCGGGAUUUCCCCUGACGUCUCCCCCGCACGAUUAUCAGCCUUCCCUUAACAGGGCGGGCAACCUUUUCAAAAUACUGGUUUGAUGUUAAAGUAUUGAGUCGUUUUUUUUGGAUGGUGGUUUGUUAACCAAUACCAUCCGGCAACUGCUCGCGAGUUUGUGGUUCUGGCGACUC